GACGUAGGAGGCGAGCGUUGUCCGGAGUUACUGGGCGUAAAGCGCGCGCAGGCGUCACGCAGGUCAUCUGUGAAAGCACCCGGCUCAACCGGGUUGUUGCGGGGUGAAACCGCGUGACUUGAGGUCGGGAGGGGGUCGGUGGAAUUCCCGGUGUAGUGGUGAAAUGCGUAGAGAUCGGGGAGGAACACCCCGUAGCGAAGGCGGCCGACUGGACCGAUCCUGACGCUGAGGGCGCGA
rnacentral:rRNA from 1 species